GCUCCGGAAGAGGAUCCAGCCCGGCGAUACUGAGGCUGAGGUCAGCCUGGAGAUGCGCAUGCGUAUCGAAAGAUGACGAGCGUGGCAAUCUCGGCGGGCUCGCUAAAGUCAGGGGAAGGAGAGAAACAAUGGGGAGCAUAACAUGGAUGUGGGGCAGGAGAGGCCGUGGUCGGAGCGGCACUGCGUGGGCAUAUUGGGUAUUAUUUGAGCUGAUACUCCAU